rnacentral:rRNA from 1 species
CAGUAGCCACGGUAAUACGUAGGGUGCGAGCGUUAAUCGGAAUUACUGGGCGUAAAGCGUGCGCAGGCGGUUGUGUAAGACAGGUGUGAGAUCCCCGGGCUUAACCUGGGAACUGCGCUUGUGACUGCACAGCUAGAGUAUGGCAGAGGGGGGUGGAAUUCCACGUGUAGCAGUGAAAUGCGUAGAGAUGUGGAGGAACACCGAUGGCGAAGGCAGCCCCCUGGGCCAAUACUGACGCUCAUGCACGAAAGCGUGGGGAGCAAACAGGAUUAGAUACCCGCGUAGUCCCUGUCUCUUAUAA